rnacentral:rRNA from 1 species
GCUUACGGCCAUACCACCCUGAGAACACCUGAUCUCGUCCGGUCUCAGAAGCUAAGCAGGGUCGGGCCUGGAUGGCACACUGCCUGGGAAUACCAGGUGCUGUAAGCU